UACGUAGGGUGCAAGCGUUAAUCGGAAUUACUGGGCGUAAAGCGUGCGCAGGCGGUGAGCUGUGUCCGAUGUGAAAGCCCCGGGCUUAACCUGGGAAUGGCAUUGGAAACUGGCUCGCUGGAGUGUGGCAGAGGGGGGUAGAAUUCCACGUGUAGCAGUGAAAUGCGUAGAGAUGUGGAGGAAUACCGAUGGCGAAGGCAGCCCCCUGGGCCAAUACUGACGCUCAUGCACGAAAGCGUGGGGAGCAAACAGG
rnacentral:rRNA from 1 species